rnacentral:lncRNA from 1 species
CAGAUACCAUGUAUUUUGAGGAGAAGCUGAGCAUUGUUGGGGACAGCACCACCAUUAGACCUGGACUAUUGGGGCCCAGGGAUUUAGAGAGCCCCACAUAUCACACCCACCCACACACCCACCCACACACAACAGUUUAUUAAAUAACAGAUAAGCACCUCUGUCCUUUGGGAUCUGGUGCCUGGUACUGGCACAGUGGGACCCACAUCACUGAUUAUUCUCUUUCACAACCAACACUGUUUAGGCCCCAGGAAACAAUCUCUACAUGUGGCACUCGACUCUGAAAACAACAGGUCAAAUGUCCUGAUACUUCGUGGAUGAUGCCACCGCAGACAUAGGAGACAGACACUGCUUCAAGAGAGGAUUUGAGUGAACUUGGAGGACAUUUGAAAAUGACCAAAAAAUAUAAUGAGAAGAAAUUAGCCUGACUAGGGUGGGAGCAGGAAGAAGAAAUGUAUCUUCUUUGAAAGAGCCUUGCAAGAAGGGAUCCCACAUGGGGAGAGCCCCUGGAGAUACCUCUGGCCUGAGUGCUCCACUGGUGUCCAUCCACGUCUGGAAAGCUGCCCCAAGAUCAUCUUGUUGCUGGGCAAGGAAAA